rnacentral:rRNA from 1 species
UACGGAGGGUGCAAGCGUUGUUCGGAAUCACUGGGCGUAAAGGGCGCGUAGGCGGCUCAUGAAGGCUGUGGUGAAAGUCCGGGGCUCAACCUCGGAUCGGCCGUGGCGACUCGUGGGCUGGAGCACUGUAGAGGCGGGUGGAAUUCCGGGUGUAGCGGUGGAAUGCGUAGAUAUCGGGAGGAACACCAGUGGCGAAGGCAGGUCUCUGGGCCACUACUGACGCUGAGACGCGAAAGCGUGGGGAGCGAACAGG